rnacentral:rRNA from 1 species
GAAGUAAAAGUCGUAACAAGGUCUCCGUUGGUGAACCAGCGGAGGGAUCAUUACUGAGUUACCGCUCAUCAACCCUUUGUGAACAUACCUUAACUGUUGCUUCGGCGGGUAGGCGUCCCCUAAAAAGGACGUCUCCCGGCCCUCUCCCGUCCGCGGGUGGGGCGCCCGCCGGAGGAUAACCAAACUCUGAUUUAACGACGUUUCUUCUGAGUGACACAAGCAAAUAAUCAAAACUUUUAACAACGGAUCUCUUGGUUCUGGCAUCGAUGAAGAACGCAGCGAAAUGCGAUAAGUAAUGUGAAUUGCAGAAUUCAGUGAAUCAUCGAAUCUUUGAACGCACAUUGCGCCCGCCAGCAUUCUGGCGGGCAUGCCUGUUCGAGCGUCAUUUCAACCCUCAAGCUCUGCUUGGUGUUGGGGCUCUACGGUUGACGUAGGCCCUUAAAGGUAGUGGCGGACCCUCUCGGAGCCUCCUUUGCGUAGUAACAUUUCGUCUCGCAUUGGGAUUCGGAGGGACUCUAGCCGUAAAACCCCCAAUUUUACUAAGGUUGACCUCGGAUCAGGUAGGAAUACCCGCUGAACUUAAGCAUAUCAAUAAGCGGAGGA